CUGGUGUCAGCCGCCGCGGUAAAACCAGCACCUCAAGUGGUCAGGAUGAUUAUUGGGCCUAAAGCAUCCGUAGCCGGCUCUGUAAGUUUUCGGUUAAAUCUGUACGCUUAACGUACAGGCUGCCGGGAAUACUGCAGAGCUAGGGAGUGGGAGAGGUAGACGGUACUCGGUAGGAAGGGGUAAAAUCCUUUGAUCUAUUGAUGACCACCUGUGGCGAAGGCGGUCUACCAGAACACGUCCGACGGUGAGGGAUGAAAGCUGGGGGAGCAAACCGGAUUAGAUACCCGGGUAGUCCCAGCUGUAAACUAUGCAAACUCAGUGAUGCAUUGGCUUGUGGCCAAUGCAGUGCUGCAGGGAAGCCGUUAAGUUUGCCGCCUGGGAAGUACGUACGCAAGUAUGAAACUUAAAGGAAUUGGCGGGGGAGCACCACAAGGGGUGAAGCCUGCGGUUCAAUUGGAGUCAACGCCAGAAAUCUUACCCGGAGAGACAGCAGAAUGAAGGUCAAGCUGAAGACUUUACCAGACAAGCUGAGAGGUGGUGCAUGGCCGUCGCCAGCUCGUGCCGUGAGAUGUCCUGUUAAGUCAGGUAACGAGCGAGAUCCCUGCCCCUAGUUGCCACCAUUACUCUCAGGAGUAGUGGGGCGAAUUAGCGGGACCGCCGCAGUUAAUGCGGAGGAAGGAAGGGGCCACGGCAGGUCAGUAUGCCCCGAAACUCUGGGGCCACACGCGGGCUGCAAUGGUAACGACAAUGGGUUUCGAAUCCGAAAGGAUGAGGUAAUCCUCAAACGUUACCACAGUUAUGACUGAGGGCUGCAACUCGCCCUCACGAAUAUGGAAUCCCUAGUAACUGCGUGUCAUUAUCGCGCGGUGAAUACGUCCCUGCUCCUUGCACACACCGCCCGUCGUUUCAUUGAAGUGAGCUUUUAGCGAGGUGACGUCUGAUUGGCG
rnacentral:rRNA from 1 species